ACGCGGGGAGACCAAAUUUUUAGUGCCAACCCAUAAUUCCACAAGCCCACACCCGGGCGCCUCUAUGCCGAAACCCUAGCAAGUUACUGCAGCCGCCUCCAUCUCUCCCAAUCAUCCCGUCCAAUCCCAAUCCACAUGUUCCAGCCACCACCAUCCCCACUUCGGCGCCUUCUCAUGCCACCUCGACGCCGGUGAGGCAUCCGUCCUGGCGCGCACCCAAACGGGGUGGCGGCAGAUCUACAUCGAUGGUGUGGUUUGCAUCCGGUCAUCAGGAGAGGCGAGGAGACGCCGAUCCAGAAGGCAGGCCAUGGCGGCGGCUAGAUCCAUGCCGAGACAGGAUCUGCAUCUGGAGACCCAUAGCAUGGAGGGAGAAGACCCACGCCAUGGAGUUGUUCGUCAAGGAGCUCCUAUGAGAGCAGUUUGCGGUCGGAGGGCCCGGUCGGCCGGCGAUGGAUGCCGGCGACGGAGGUCUCCUCUCCACGGAUCUGUGAUGGAGCGCGUGCUUAUUUUCCUCUCCACGGAUCAAGGCAUAUCCACUGGAUCCAUGCGGUGUUGGAGGAGAUGAUGCGGUUCGUGUGCCUCCCCUUCUUUGCGUAUGUGUAGCAGGUGCAAUAGCUAGAGCGGCCAGAGGAGGUGGAGGAGCUGGCCAGCACCCAUCGCCUGGACAUAAGCUUCCACCUGCAGAAGAGCACCUGCUCCUCGUGCGGCUACCCCGCCGCCCGCAUCCGCAAGUGUAAGUCCAUCCCACCCCCAGAUCCCGCGGUUACUCUGCGCAUAUGUGAAUCAACCUCGCGAAUCCGCAUGUAUUUCACCUCCACUUCUGGCUCCUCUCCUCUUCUGUACACUCACACAUCAAGGCUCUCGCCUGUUUGAAAAAAUGCCCUGAAGAAAUCGUGAACGAGUCAGAUUCUUUCUUCUAAUCCAUCGCUUUGGAUAUUCUUGAUCAACGGGAUGUCUGAGCAAUAUAAGUAUUUUUUUAGGAUGUAUAAAAUCUGCAUGUAUGAUGACUAUGUACAAUAUACGUAGCUUCCUUUAAAGGUUAUAAGAACUGCAAUAACAUUCAAGUUUGAACAGGUGCGAUACGAACCUAGGAAAGCCUUAUUCUAUGGACCAGUAACUACUAACAAGCUUCAUUGCAUAUAUAUUACUCCCUCCAUCCUGAAAUAAGUCACUCAACUUUGUACUAAAGUUAGUACAAACUUAUUUUGGGACGGAGGGAGUACUUGUUAUUACUGUUUGAAUUGUUACUAGAGACGCAGAACAAAAUUUGGCCCACAUGUUUCUUUAUGCUCUGAAUGUUUAGCAGUUUUGAACCUUUAGUUAAGCCACUUCUUUGAUAUUAAGUGUAUUGCAUGAUCACUUGUACUUGCUGAUUUUAAGCAUCUUCUUCACUGAAAGAAAAUAUCAGUAGCCCCUUGCUUUCUUUCCUUGUACAGUUUGAAAAUUAGGAUUACAUUCAAAUUUUAAACUGAUUCAAUAUGGGUAAACAAUGAACAGACCUUGUCACGUGGGUCAGGUUAAUUAGUUUGUUUGUGUAUAGUUACCAGAGCGGUAUAUGUUUUUGGUAGGAUGUGAAUGUGUAGCAGUUUGGAACCUUCAAGCUACUGUUUUGGGGUUAAGCAGAUGUCAUGUAUCAGUUUAGUGCUACUUUGGUGUCAAUCUUUGGUUAGACAUGGCAUGCUCUGUCCAGUAUUUGUUGGUUGCAAGGAUUAGCUUCGCUCUUCUUUGGAAUGCCUGAUGUUAGAUGUCACGUGGUUGCAAAAAUAUCUUUGUCUGAGCUUUCUAUGAAGAUAUUGCUCUACUUAUUUGAUUUACACACUACUUCUCUAGCAUCCUAGAUAAUCCUAGAUGUUUAGUAAACUAACAGUGUUUUCUCUCUUCUAUGAGAUGCACUUCCUUGCAUCAUUCCAGAAAGCACAGGAGGAGAAGCUAUUCUUCUUAGAAUCUGAUAGUGAAUCAGAGAGCGACUGCCAGGAGGCGCAAGCAUAGGUCAAAGAGGAGGUAUUCAGACUCUAGUGAUGAGAGUGACAGCGAUAACUACAAUAGUGAAUCUGAAGAAAAUAUACAUUGUAUUGUAUAUGCUACUGAAAUAAAAUAUACAUUUUAUUUGCAAUCAAUAGAUGACUAUGUAGGAUGAUGUAUUGUA